AGCACGGGAGCAAUCCUGGUGGCGAGUGGCGAACGGGUGAGUAAUGUAUCGGAACGUACCUUUCAGUGGGGGAUAACGUAGCGAAAGUUACGCUAAUACCGCAUAUUCUGUGAGCAGGAAAGCAGGGGAUCGCAAGACCUUGCGCUGAUUGAGCGGCCGAUAUCAGAUUAGCUAGUUGGUGAGGUAAAGGCUCACCAAGGCGACGAUCUGUAGCGGGUCUGAGAGGAUGAUCCGCCACACUGGAACUGAGACACGGUCCAGACUCCUACGGGAGGCAGCAGUGGGGAAUUUUGGACAAUGGGGGCAACCCUGAUCCAGCCAUGCCGCGUGAGUGAAGAAGGCCUUCGGGUUGUAAAGCUCUUUCAGCCGGGAAGAAAUCACAUGGGUUAAUACCCUGUGUGGAUGACGGUACCGGAAUAAGAAGCACCGGCUAACUACGUGCCAGCAGCCGCGGUAAUACGUAGGGUGCGAGCGUUAAUCGGAAUUACUGGGCGUAAAGCGUGCGCAGGCGGUUUGUUAAGAUAGGCGUGAAAUCCCCGGGCUCAACCUGGGAACUGCGUUUAUGACUGGCAGGCUAGAGUAUGGCAGAGGGGGGUGGAAUUCCACGUGUAGCAGUGAAAUGCGUAGAGAUGUGGAGGAACACCGAUGGCGAAGGCAGCCCCCUGGGCCAAUACUGACGCUCAUGCACGAAAGCGUGGGUAGCAAACAGGAUUAGAUACCCUGGUAGUCCACGCCCUAAACGAUGUCAACUAGGUGUUGGGUGGGUAAAACCAUUUAGUACCGG
rnacentral:rRNA from 1 species